rnacentral:rRNA from 1 species
UACGUAGGGUGCGAGCGUUAAUCGGAAUUACUGGGCGUAAAGCGUGCGUAGGCGGUUCGUUAAGUUCGUUGUGAAAGCCCCGGGCUCAACCUGGGAAUGGCAAUGGAAACUGGCGGGCUGGAGUAUGGCAGAGGGGGGUGGAAUUCCGCGUGUAGCAGUGAAAUGCGUAGAUAUCUGGAGGAACACCGGUGGCGAAGGCGGCAUUCUGGACUGCAACUGACACUGAAGAACGAAAGCCAGGGGAGCAAACGGG